AGAGACAAGCGAUACCAAGCUCCUGGAGCACUGAUGAGGGCGACAGAGAGGAGGAGAAGAAGAGCGGGGGGGAAAAAGAAGGAGAUGAGUAAAGAAGAAAGUGAGUGAGAAAGUGAAUAAAGAGUUUCCAAAUGGAAAGUAGGAGAGUAAGAGAAAGAUGAGGAGAAAGAAGAGGAACGUAGUAGAAAAAGAGGCAGGAAGUAUGAAGAUAUAGCACGGGAAGAUAAACGCUAUAGAAACAAAAAAGAGUGUUCAGGAAGCAGAGGAGGGUGUUUUGAGUGAUAGCGAACAUACUGUAGAUGAAAGCUGUCGGAGGAGUGGGACGCUGAGAAGCGUCAGCAUUGUCAGAGCAUGUUCAGCCCUCAGGGACAGCCAGGGGCCGGCCGUCAGCCUUUAUUUGGAGAGCAGAAGCUUUUCCACACUACCUGAAAUCAGCUGAGAGGUUAAGUCGUGGUGUGUGCAAGCUGCCAGCAUCAGAUCAUCGUCCUCAAAGUGUGGGGGCAAGAAGGAAAGAUGUUGGGUGCCCCCCGGUGGAGACUGUUUACUGUGUGCAAAGUGCUCUCCGCUCUCCUUUCAGUGUUUGUUAGUUAAUCACCAUCUGCUGCUGCUGCAGUUAGUUGUAUAGCAAGAGUGGAGAGGAAGCUGGUUCUCAGUCAACCAGCUUCUCAUGCAAAUAAAUGGUUUUAAUGGCUCCACAGUGUGAUGAACAAAAAAGCUUCAAAAAUACUGGUUGACAGUUUGACUUGGUCCUGUCACUGAAGAUUAGCUUCCAUUAGCUACUACAGCACUGAUGGGUGGGGAGGGUCAGCUGGUGUUGUGAAUCAGGCCGCUGAAGUGUCACGCACGGCUUUUUCACAACACCAGGGUUCCUCCCUACUACUUCCUGCUAGGACACAUCCACCACACGUCUCUGCACAAUGCUGUACAUUAGAAUACAGCAAAACACAAAGUGUAAAUGUACGAGUUACUAACAAGUUUUUAAGGAAUGUCAUUUCAUUGUUAAACAGUAAAUAACUAUUAACUUGUGACUUAUUACCAAUAGUAUCGUGUUACCUACCAGCUUUGGAACAGUUUGCUAUUAUCACUAUCAUCUACACUGUUGUGCCCUUUUGAAACUGAAAAAAAAAAAAUACACACACAUAUAUAUAUAUGUAUAUUUUCUUGCCAUGUUACACACAAAACUAUUUAGACUAUGGAUCGUAAUCUACUUUACAACUUUUGGACUUUGCAAAAGUCUUGGGCCACCCUACAUUUCAUUGCAAUUCUUAACAAGCUUGAAAGUCAACCCUUGCUUUGAGCACAUUUAUUCUUCAACACAGCAUGAACUCUCUUAGACAAGCUUUCUUGUCAUUUGUUGAAGUAUUCUUCAGGAAUACUUUGAUAACUUUAGGCUCAUUGAAUGACAUUACAAGCUCUUCUCUGGAUGCUGGCUGUCUUUUGUUCUGCACUCAUUCUUUCAACAUGAUCCCACACUUCAGUGAACCGCAGUGUUGGGUAAGUUACUUUAAAUUAGUAACUUAGUUACA